rnacentral:rRNA from 1 species
GGGGGACCUAACACAUGCAGUCGAGCGAGAACUUCGGUUCUAGCGGCGGACGGGUUAGUAACGCGUGGGAACGUGCCCUUCACUACGGAAUAGUCCCGGGAAACUGGGUUUAAUACCGUAUACGCCCUUCGGGGGAAAGAAUUUCGGUGAAGGAUCGGCCCGCGUUAGAUUAGAUAGUUGGUGGGGUAACGGCCUACCAAGUCUACGAUCUAUAGCUGGUUUUAGAGGAUGAUCAGCAACACUGGGACUGAGACACGGCCCAGACUCCUACGGGAGGCAGCAGUGGGGAAUCUUAGACAAUGGGCGCAAGCCUGAUCUAGCCAUGCCGCGUGAGUGAUGAAGGCCUUAGGGUCGUAAAGCUCUUUCGCCAGGGAUGAUAAUGACAGUACCUGGUAAAGAAACCCCGGCUAACUCCGUGCCAGCAGCCGCGGUAAUACGGAGGGGGUUAGCGUUGUUCGGAAUUACUGGGCGUAAAGCGCGCGUAGGCGGAUUGGAAAGUUGGGGGUGAAAUCCCAGGGCUCAACCCUGGAACUGCCUCCAAAACUAUCAGUCUAGAGUUCGAGAGAGGUGAGUGGAACUCCGAGUGUAGAGGUGAAAUUCGUAGAUAUUCGGAAGAACACCAGUGGCGAAGGCGGCUCACUGGCUCGAUACUGACGCUGAGGUGCGAAAGUGUGGGGAGCAAACAGGAUUAGAUACCCUGGUAGUCCACA